AACUAACGCUGGCGGCGUGCCUAACACAUGCAAGUCGUACGAGAAAGUUGGCUUCGGCCGAUGAGUACAGUGGCGCACGGGUGAGUAACGCGUGGAUAAUCUGCCCUUAAGUGUGGAAUAACGUACCGAAAGGUGCGCUAAUACCGCAUAAUGCCUGGCAACAUAAGUUGUCCGGCCAAAGAAGGCCUCUGCUUGCAAGCUUUCGCUAAAGGAUGAGUCCGCGUACCAUUAGCUAGUUGGUGGGGUAACGGCCUACCAAGGCGACGAUGGUUAGCUGGUCUGAGAGGAUGAUCAGCCACACUGGAACUGAGACACGGUCCAGACUCCUACGGGAGGCAGCAGUGAGGAAUAUUGCGCAAUGGGGGCAACCCUGACGCAGCAACGCCGCGUGAGUGAGGAAGGUUUUCGGACUGUAAAGCUCUGUCGAGCGGGAAGAAGUGUACCAUGGCUAAUAUCCAUGAUAUUUGACGUACG
rnacentral:rRNA from 1 species